GAUGAACGCUGGCGGCGUGCUUAACACAUGCAAGUCGAACGGGAUCCCAGGAGCUUGCUCCUGGGUGAGAGUGGCGAACGGGUGAGUAAUGCGUGACCGACCUGCCCCAUACACCGGAAUAGCUCCUGGAAACGGGUGGUAAUGCCGGAUGCUCCAGUUGACCGCAUGGUCCUCUGGGAAAGCUUUUGCGGUAUGGGAUGGGGUCGCGUCCUAUCAGCUUGAUGGCGGGGUAACGGCCCACCAUGGCUUCGACGGGUAGCCGGCCUGAGAGGGCGACCGGCCACAUUGGGACUGAGAUACGGCCCAGACUCCUACGGGAGGCAGCAGUGGGGAAUAUUGCACAAUGGGCGCAAGCCUGAUGCGGCGACGCCGCGUGCGGGAUGACGGCCUUCGGGUUGUAAACCGCUUUUGACUGGGAGCAAGCCCUUCGGGGUGAGUGU
rnacentral:rRNA from 1 species